CCCUUAUAUGUUCUGGGCUGCACGCGUGAUACACUGAUACAUACAAUAAGUUCCUAGUCCGGAAGGACAAGGUAAUCUGUAAUAUGUAUCGUGAUGGGGAUAGAUCUUUGUAAUUAUAGAUCUUGAACGAGGAAUUCCUAGUAAGCGUAAGUCAACAUCUUACGCUGAUUACGUCCCUGUCCUUUGUACACACCGCCCGUCGCUUAUACCGAUUGAAUUUUUAGGUGAACCUUUUGGAUCGCUUUCUGCGAAAAGAAAAGUAAAUCUUAAAAUUUAGAGGAAUAAAAANUCGUAACA
rnacentral:rRNA from 1 species